rnacentral:rRNA from 1 species
AUUGAACGCUGGCGGCAGGCCUAACACAUGCAAGUCGGGCGAGCCGCGGACGGGUGAGUUAUGUAUGGGGAUCUGCCUGAUGGAGGGGGAUAACUACUGGAAACUGUAGCUAAUACCGUAUACCAUCAGAUGAACCUAUAUGGGUUUAGCUUGUAGGUGAGGUAACGGCUCACCUAGGCGACGACCCCUAGCUGGUCUGAGAGGUUGAACAGCCACACUGGGACUGAGACACGGCCCAGACUCCUACGGGAGGCAGCAGUGGGGAAUAUUGCACAAUGGGCGCAAGCCUGAUGCAGCCAUGCCGCGUGUAUGAAGAAGGCCUUCGGGUUGUAAAGUACUUUCAGUCGGGAGGCGUUACCGACAGAAGAAGCACCGGCUAACUCCGUGCCAGCCGCCGCGGUAAUUC